UAUCUCUGUAGAGUCUGCAUAUCAAUAAGCGGAGGAAAAGAAACUAACAAGGAUUCCCCUAGUAACGGCGAGUGAAGCGGGAAGAGCUCAAAUUUGAAAUCUUCAAGGUUCUGACCUUGACGAAUUGUAGUUUAAAGAAGUGUUUUCGGUUAGAGGAGUAGUAAAAGUUCUUUGGAAUAGGACAUCAUAGAGGGUGAGAAUCCCGUAUUUGACUAUUCUUUCUAGCUUUGUGAUACACUUUCAAAGAGUCGGAUUGUUUGGGAAUGCAGUCCAAAAUGGGUGGUAAAUUUCAUCUAAAGCUAAAUAUUGGCGAGAGACCGAUAGCGAACAAGUACCGUGAGGGAAAGAUGAAAAGAACUUUGAAAAGAGAGUUAAACAGUACGUGAAAUUGUCAAAAGGGAAGCGUUUGACACCAGUGUUGUUUUUUCCGAAAAUCAAUUAAAAAUUGAUUCAUGCCAGGUUGUAUUGACCUUAUCAGCUUGCAAUUUGGUUUUGGGUCUCUUUUUGAUGCACUUUUCGGUUAACAAGUCAACAUCAAUUUCCUUUGCUGUAAAAAGGUAAGAGGAAGGUGGCUUCAAUUUCGGUUGAAGUGUUUAUAGCCUUUUAUCUCUGCAGUCGGGGAGAUUGAGGUCUGCAGCGUAGAUCCUUCGGGGCUAGAUACAUUUAUGCUAAGUUAUAGCUUUUCAUAGACAACUUGUUGACUAUGUUUAGUCAUGUAGCUUACUCGUAAGUGCUAUUUUACCUACGCUUAGGAUGUUGAGCGCAUGUCUCUCUCU
rnacentral:rRNA from 1 species